rnacentral:rRNA from 1 species
GCGUCGACCGGCGCACGGGUGAGUAACGCGUAUCCAACCUGCCUCUGACUGAGGGAUAACCCGUCGAAAGUCGGCCUAAUACCUCAUGGCAUCGUCUGCGGGCAUCCAACGACGAUUAAAGAUUUCAUCGGUCAGAGAUGGGGAUGCGUCUGAUUAGCUAGUUGGCGGGGUAACGGCCCACCAAGGCGACGAUCAGUAGGGGUUCUGAGAGGAAGGUCCCCCACAUUGGAACUGAGACACGGUCCAAACUCCUACGGGAGGCAGCAGUGAGGAAUAUUGGUCAAUGGGCGAGAGCCUGAACCAGCCAAGUAGCGUGCAGGAAGACGGCCCUAUGGGUUGUAAACUGCUUUUAUGCGGGGAUAAAGUGAGGGACGUGUCCUUCAUUGCAGGUACCGCAUGAAUAAGGACCGGCUAAUUCCGUGCCAGCAGCCGCGGUAAUACGGAAGGUCCGGGCGUUAUCCGGAUUUAUUGGGUUUAAAGGGAGCGUAGGCCGUGGAUUAAGCGUGUUGUGAAUGCAGGUGCUCAACGUCUGCACUGCAGCGCGAACUGGUCCACUUGAGUGUGCACAACGCAGGCGGAAUUCGUCGUGUAGCGGUGAAAUGCUUAGAUAUGACGAAGAACUCCGAUUGCGAAGGCAGCUUGCGGGA